UCCCUGGUAGCCUAGUGGUUAAGGAUUCACUGUUGUCACCACUGUGGCUCAGGUUUGAUCCCUGGCCUGGGAA
rnacentral:tRNA from 1 species